GAUGAACGCUGGCGGCGUGCCUAACACAUGCAAGUCGAGCGAUUUGCUUCGGUAAAGAGCGGCGGACGGGUGAGUAACGCGUGGGUAACCUGCCCUGUACACACGGAUAACAUACUGAAAGGUAUGCUAAUACGGGAUAACAUAAGAGAGUCGCAUGGCCUUCUUAUCAAAGCUUUUGCGGUACAGGAUGGACCCGCGUCUGAUUAGCUAGUUGGUAAGGUAACGGCUUACCAAGGCGACGAUCAGUAGCCGACCCGAGAGGGUGAUCGGCCACAUUGGAACUGAGACACGGUCCAAACUCCUACGGAAGGCAGCAUUGGGGGAUAUUGCACAAUGGGCGAAAGCCUGAUGCAGCAACGCCGCGUGAGCGAUGAAGGCCUUCGGGUCGUAAAGCUCUGUCCUCAAGGAAGAUAAUGACGGUACUUGAGGAGGAAGCCCCGGCUAACUACGUGCCAGCAGCCGCCGCAG
rnacentral:rRNA from 1 species